rnacentral:rRNA from 1 species
GAUCAUGGGCUCAGGAUGAACGCUGGCGGCGUGCCUAACACAUGCAAGUCGAGCGAAGCACUUUGCUUAGAUUCUUCGGAUGAAGAGGAUUGUGACUGAGCGGCGGACGGGUGAGUAACGCGUGGGUAACCUGCCUCAUACAGGGGGAUAACAGUUAGAAAUGACUGCUAAUACCGCAUAAGACCACAGCACCGCAUGGUGCGGGGGUAAAAACUCCGGUGGU